UGGCGGACGGGUGAGUAAUGUCUGGGAAACUGCCUGAUGGAGGGGGAUAACUACUGGAAACGGUAGCUAAUACCGCAUAACGUCGCAAGACCAAAGAGGGGACCUUCGGGCCUCUUGCCACCGGAUGUGCCCAGAUGGGAUUAGCUAGUAGGUGGGGUAACGGCUCACCUAGGCGACGAUCCCUAGCUGGUCUGAGAGGAUGACCAGCCACACUGGAACUGAGACACGGUCCAG
rnacentral:rRNA from 1 species